rnacentral:rRNA from 1 species
CUUGGUCAUUUAGAGGAAGUAAAAGUCGUAACAAGGUCUCCGUAGGUGAACCUGCGGAGGGAUCAUUACACAACAAAAAUAUGAGGGUGUGGUUUGCUGGCAACAGCGUCCGCCCCAAGUAUUUUUCACCCAUGUCUUUUGCGCACUUUUUGUUUCCUGGGCGAGUUCGCUCGCCACCAGGACCCAACCAUAAACCUUUUUUUAUGCAGUUGCAAUCAGCGUCAGUAUAAUAAUUCAAUUUAUUAAAACUUUCAACAACGGAUCUCUUGGUUCUGGCAUCGAUGAAGAACGCAGCGAAAUGCGAUACGUAGUGUGAAUUGCAGAAUUCAGUGAAUCAUCGAAUCUUUAACGCACAUUGCGCCCUUUGGUAUUCCAAAGGGCAUGCCUGUUCGAGCGUCAUUUGUACCCUCAAGCUUUGCUUGGUGUUGGGCGUCUUUUUGUCUCUCCCCUUGUUGGGGGAGACUCGCCUUAAAACGAUUGGCAGCCGACCUACUGGUUUUCGGAGCGCAGCACAAAUUUGCGCCUUCCAAUCCACAGGGCGGCAUCCAGCAAGCCUUUGUUUUCUAUAACAAAUCCACAUUUUGACCUCGGAUCAGGUAGGGAUACCCGCUGAACUUAAGCAUAUCAAUAAACGGAGGA